GCGUAGGGUUAGUCGGCCCCUAAGGCGAGGCAGAAAUGCGUAGUCGAUGGGAAGCAGGUUAAUAUUCCUGCACCGACGUGUAAUGCGAUGGGGGGACGGAUCGUGGAAAGUGGUCCAGGUGUUGGAUAUCCUGGUCCCUGCAUCAUAGAGGACAGUUAGGCAAAUCCGGCUGUCAUAUACUCAAGGGUGUGGGGGGAAGUAGCUACGGCUACGAACCCAUUGGAAGUGGUCCCAAGAAAAGCCUCUAAGCUUCAGUUACACGUUGACCGUACCGCAAACCGACACAGGUGGGCGGGAUGAGUAUUCUAAGGCGCUUGAGAGAACUCAGGAGAAGGAACUCGGCAAAUUGGUACCGUAACUUCGGGAGAAGGUACGCCCUUGUAGCUUGACCAUGAACAAUGGAAGGGUGAAGGGGUUGCAAUAAAAUGGUGGCUGCGACUGUUUAAUAAAAACACAGCUCUCUGCAAACACGAAAGUGGACGUAUAGGGAGUGACGCCUGCCCGGUGCUGGAAGAUUAAAUGAUGGGGUGCAAGCUCUUGACUGAAGUCCCAGUAAACGGCGGCCGUAACGAUAACGGUCCUAAGGUAGCGAAAUUCCUUGUCGGGUAA
rnacentral:rRNA from 14 species